ensembl:lncRNA
GGGACGGGCAGAUGAGGAGGGCCGAGCGAGCGUGGAGGCCAGCAUUUAUUCUGGCUCCUUCAGGCUGUUUCUGAAAGACUUGAAAUUCUCCCCGGGCCGUGCGUUUCCAGUGCGUCCACACCUCCGCCAUGACCCCACCUGGCCCACGACUUGGUGAUGAGUGGCACGCGUGUGCCUGGGCUCCAUCCAGGUUCCUGGCUUGAGCGCCCACGACCCUCCAACUUUGCCCCGGUUAAACCCCUUUGGGCCUCACCCGGGUUUCUGCCAAGGUGGCGACUCUGGAGGUGGGGGAGACCGGCCCCCUGGUCAGAGGUGUCUCAUAUAAUCAACAUGCAACCUGUAACAGGAGCAGAGUCUUGCCUGAGCCAUCCUCCCGGGUUCUGCUGGGAAUCCAUCCUGGAGAAGCACAGUUUUCAGCAGUUUUGUGGCUUGUCAGAACAAAGAACAUCAAACAAGUCAGGGAUACAUUCUCCCACGGGUAAAAAACAAAGCAGCCUGUGGUAUCUUAGUUCCCUGAUGAGGGAUUGAACCUUCGACCCCUCCAUUGGAAGUGCAGCGUCUUAACCACUGGGCCUCCAGCACACGGAAUCCAACAUGGACGCUCUUUACUUCUGGUCAAAGCUGCUGCUGCUGCUGCUGCUAAGUCGCUUCAGUCGUGUCCAACUCUGUGUGACCCCACAGACAGCAGCCCACCAGGCUCCCCGUCCCUGGUUUUCUCCAGGUAAGAACACUGGAGUGGGUUGCCAUUUCCUUCUCCAAUGCAUGAAAGUGAGAAGUGAAAGUGAAGUCACUCAGUCGUGUCCGACUCUUCAUGACCCCAUGGACUGCAGCCCACCAGGCUCCUCCGCCCAUGGGAUUUUCCAGGCAAGAGGACUGGAGUGGGGUGCCACUGCCUUCUCCGUCUGGUCAAAGCAUCUCUUUCUUCACCAGUUAAAGCAGACGUACUGUGUGUCUGAUGUGCGGCAGGUGGGCUGUUUUAGAGGCAUCGAGCGCAGGUUAACUUGUGGCUAAGCCGGAGGGUCUCCCCACACGUGGAUAUGGAGCACUGCUCCCCUCAGAGGCUCGGAGAGUGUGGUCCCAGCCCCGACCUCGGGGGGACGGACGCUGAGUUAAUCACCAGCGGCCAGUGAGUUCACCCGUCCUGCCUGGGAUCGGACCACCUGCAGGAGCCCGAGACGUGGGGCUGAGAGCGCCAUGCUGGGGACUCAGGGGCC